CUCUCCAGCCGCACUCCGACCCGGCGCAGCCACCCGGCCCCAGCUCGCAGGCCCCACUGCUGCGCCCUCUCGGGGACGCGAAUGCCCCGCGCCGGGCGGGCGCCCGCGGAGGGAGGUCUCGCUCCAGGGGCGCGGAGCUCCAGAUGCCUGCGCCCAAGGCCCCUCGCCUGGCGCCGGCUGGUCCCGAACUUCGGGACAUGGGCACCCAGGAAGGGGGCCGCGCGUGUUGGGAGGCCCGUCCUCUCGCCGCGACCCUCCAGGGCAGCCGGGGAACCCACCUGCGGAGCGGGAAGCCCAGGAACGCUCGAAGAGGUCGUGGGAGCCGGGCCCGCCCUCCGCGGGAGGGACCUCGGCGCGGGAACGCCGAGGAGGGGCCGCGCUUACACGUUGGUGCAGCGCCGGCUUCACCUGACCGCGAUUUUGAUUUCAGGGUGUGGCCUCAGGUAGGACGCGGCGGCGAACCCAGAGCGCGGGAGAAGUUGCCGAGGGUCCCUGGGGCCUUGGCCAGGAGCCCCUCUUCCCGAGGGGCGCCCUGCUGCUCAACUCUUUCUCUACACCUGCUUGGCCCCAGCUCCCGCCCGCCCUUCGCCUCCGGGCCCUGGCCUGGCCACAGCCGCGGGGACCUGCCUGAGGCUCCACGGCCCAGUGGCCGCCUCGCGGAGACCCGACUUGGAGAACCAGCUGCGCGCCGGCUGUGUGUAAUCACCUCGUUCACUGGCAUCGCAGAUGCACGCUCCAGAGCCGCAGGCCGACUCUCCCCCACCUGAGCGGGGCCGCGUGUGCCCACCCACACAUCCUGGAGAGCCCACGCGGGAGUCGGAAAACCUGUAACCUUGGAUGAUCUGUCCCAUGUGGACAGGGCCCCAAGACUGUGCUGGGGUAGCCCCUUGCGCAGGCAGGAAAGCGGGAUUUAAGGGAUUCCAGUUCCCUUGUCGGACCUUGCGCAGUCCUGAGUCCUGAGGACUUUCUAGCCGGAGAGUUCUAGACCCGCACCCCCAGAGCGGCUAGGGCCUGUUCCGGAGCCCCUCCGCGGGUGAUUUUGUUCCAGAGUCGGCAUCCUCUGCUUGUCCUCAGCAGUCCCUGCCUAAGAUCCGAAUGGCCAUUCCAAGGGGCUCACUCCUGGCUGCCCCUGUGCCAUGUUUCUUUUGGGGUACAGGGUGUUUUCUAUACUGGGGGAAGGGACAGGG
rnacentral:sRNA from 1 species